rnacentral:lncRNA from 1 species
UCCGGCAGAACAAACCGACCAAGGUCCCACUUGAAUAUGGACCUUAAAAACCUUCUUCACGGCCGACCAAGGUCCCACUUGAAUAUGGACCUUAAAAACCUUCUUCACGGUAGAAGAUUCUUAUUACUUCAUCAUUUACAUUAGAGGCAACCUUUAGAGACAAACAAUCUGUCAUGCUGAAUUCAGUCAAAAAAUGUGCCCUACAUGCUACAACUAGUCCCCAGGCUGUUGGUUAUGCUGUGCUGUAAUCAAAUAGUUCCACGGGGGAGAAAGAAAAUACUAAACCUGACAGCUGACGGAAUUUCCGGUAUGUGUUGCUAUAUAUGGAUAACCUUAGAGAUGAAUCUGUUUCCGUUCCACAUUUUUCUUGGCAUGUAAAUUCAUGUUUCUUUGCAUAUAUUGACUAUUCAUUAUUAUGUAUAAUGUGUUGAAGGACAGAUUUGAUAGCAUCAACCAUUAAGCUCAAGUCAUUUUGUUUAUUUAGUUUUUUCUUUUUUUGUAUCGAUGAGCUUUUUCAUAGUAUAAGAUUGAUAUUGUUUCACCAUUGAUGUUAGAGGCAAGCUUGAGACAUGUAAUCUGUUAUACCAUGACCAGAAACAUAUAAAUUUGGGCUACCUUGACCUUCUGUGUUGACUUGAAAAAGAAAAUGAAAAUAAACUAAGGGGCAUGAAUAUAUCUUUUUUGACACUGUUUUUCAAGGUCAAAAUCUUAGCAAUAACAUACAUGAAGGUAUAUUUGUUACGUGCAUAUAUUUACUUAUUAUUGAUUAUUAAAGUCUCAUUCUCACCCCCUUUUUUCAUCUUACCUAUGUAGCUGACAAAUUGGGGGUAAAGGAUAAGGUAUCAGAACAAAAGGAAAUUUGUUGUAAAUUGUAAUGUUGGUACAGGUACUCUGAACCCAUAAUUCUCAUGUCACUGAAAAAAUCGUAAUGGCAGGAUACGCAUCUCUAAGGCUUCUCAAUAGCUAAGGCAUGAAAAUAUGUAUUAGACUGUAGGAAACACCCUUCAACUAGUAUAUAUAGAGAAAAUAUGUCGCAUGGACUUGCUUACAGAAAGUGAACAAAGCUGGUCUGAACUUUCCAUGUUACUUUAUAAUAUCUUGAGAUUUAAGAUCACCACUUCACAACGCAAAUCAGUGGCUGUCCCACCCUGAACUGAUAUUUGUUUGCAGGAGCUGUCCGUAAUGCAAUAUGCCAGGUAUCGAUGGUUAAAUUGUAGGGGCAACUCUGUGGACUAGUCUACAUUAUCAAAAGUUCCACUGUCAAAUUCCUGUUUAUCUUCAUUACCUCCAGACACCAAAACAAGCAAGUUGAUCAGCUCAUGUGAUGCUGUUGCUUGACACAUCCUAAAGGAGAGUGAUGGUAAAAAUCGGGGACUAAUCUGACAAUACAGUAUAUUUAAUGGGUACAUUAAGCUAAAUAAUAUGCGACUUUUUUCCUUAAAAUGAUCAAAUCCACCACAAAUUGUCAAAGAUAAAAGGAAAUUUAACAUUUCAUUGUAUCAGCCAACUUAGAAACUUUUAUAGGUAAAAGCAUACCAUUUAAUGAAAUAACAUGGUCCCUUACCUCAGAUCUUUAUAUAUCUUAAUCAAUUGUCAAAGCUGGUUAAGCAAAUUUGUUAUGAAAAUUAUGAAACUAAAUACAUGUAGUUUAUAUAUUAUGCAGAUUUGAGGGUGAAUGUUGGAGGAUUAUAAUCUCGUACUUACAUCUGAAUAUGUGUUGGAUAUAGGUGUUAGAACAGAUAUUUUAAGAAAAAUGAAGAGUUUAUAUUAAUUAGCUUGUAUGUUGAAGUAAUUUGUGAACAAUGUAAAUCAUUUACAAUUAAAUUAUAUAUGAAACCAACAAUAAAAAGGGGACCAUAGGAAAUUAUAACAAGAAAUAAAAUUUCAAUUGAAUGAUGUGUUCCAAACUGUUACAGAAGCCACCAUCUCUACUAUUCCACUUAGGGGGACUUAUUAUCUGCUCCCCAAGGCAAAAAGGAUGGGAAAAAAGUGUAAAUGGUGUUAGUGAUGUUUGCUUUACAGAAAUGUAUGAGCUGAUUUGACAUAAUUCAAGCGAGAGGUAACAUCAAGAAAGAUAUCUUCGUUGCAGGGAAUUGUGAGACCGCCAGUAGGAUGACUAUAUCCGAACUCUUCUUGUGACAUGCCUAGCAAAUCUUGAAAUGAAGGCUGGUUCAAGAAUGAAAUUGGUAUCACAAACCUCUUCUGGUUUUCUCCAACAUAAACCGCAAAGUAGCCCUUGGGAACUUUCUUAGAGCUAAUGAUAUGAGGUAGGUGGAUAGCCAUUGCUGUUUUUGAUAGAUUUAUGCUUCUCAAAGGGAAGAAAAGGAAGAACUCAGAUAACUAGGAAAGCAAGCUUGAGAAUGUUGAAGGUAGGAGUUGGCAAUGAACUUAAUCCUACUUGUAUAUAUAGAUGUAUAGGGUAGAGAGGAAAUCAUAUUCUUCUAUUAUUAAGUGGGGGAUGUGCAAUGAGUGGUGAAGGUGCAAUUGCUGGGGUCUGAUCAGUAAUGAGAUGGGCAUGGGCUAAUGGGGACUCACAUGGUGUUGUCUUCCAAGGAAUUAUCAAGAAUUCCAUGUCAAAUACUUGAAUGAAUGGUUUUCCUACCUUGCCGGCAAAAUGAACCGACCAAGGACCUACUCAGAUUUGGAAGAUUUGGAUCCAUUAAUAUAGCUUCUUCCUAAUAGAAUAUUUUUAUUACUUCACUAAUGACAAUAGAGGCAACCUUUAGAGACAUACAAUCUGUCAUGCAAUGAUAGAGAACAAAUAACAUGGAUGACUUUGACCUCCUAUUUCAUACAGACUUCACAUAAAACUUGUAAGACAAACCCUUGUGAAGAGCGCCUGAAGUGUGUCCUACAGGCUACAAAAACUCCUCAUCUGAACCCAACUUGUUGCGUUUUAUCCAGGUUUGUUGUCUAUGCCGUGCUGCAAUCAAAUAGUUCCAUAGGGGUGAAGACAAUUAGUCCACAAUUCUGGUGGCAUGUUUGUUGUGUUCUUAGCAUAUUUUGACUAUUCGUUAUUAUAUUGGGGAGAACAGUUGUCAGGUCAAAGUCAGAAAGCUAUUCAAACUACAACAAAUUUCAAUGAAGGCUUCUUCUGCACAUGGGACUGUGAGACUACCCCUUGGAUGAUCAAAGCCAAACUCCUCUUCCAGCCUGAUUUAUCAAUUCUUAAAAUGAAGGGUGCUUCAAGAAUGAAAUUGGAUGGCCUUUGGUUAUUUAUGAAGCUGCUGUCACCUUUUGGAUAAGCUGCUUUGUGUGAACAAGUGCAGGUACUGACAAACACGCAAGUCUUAUGAACUGAGAAAUGUUGCAAGGGCAGAAUACGUUCAUCUCUAAGGCUCCUGAAUAGCUAAUGCAAAAAAUAUAUAUAUGAAAGAGUUGGUAGCCCUCUUACUCUUAUCUCAAAAUGGUCACAAAUCUAUUUGGUGUUACAUUCAGUCAUUUGUAUGUUUGUUUCCAUACAUGACUGGAGUUUAAAGUAGUUGAAAUUUUCUUGAAUUUAACCAAUGAUGAUUAAUCAUUGUUAGAAUUAUGUGACCUAAAUUCUAAGAGAUUGCUUGCAAGUCAAGUUAAACAAAAAUAUAUUUUCUUUCUAGAAGAUUUAGUAUUUAUUAGUAUAAUAUAUUUAGCAUUUAUUAGUAUAGUUUAUUUGACUUACUAAUUUAGCCUAUAAAUAGGCUCAUUUACAAUCUUAGAAUUAAAGAGACACCCAUUAGAUUAGAACUCAUAACACAUUCAGAGAAUUUUGUGUUUACGUUUGAGGGUUCUUUGUUUUUCGGGUUUUCGGGGUUUAGUUUUUAUCUCCAUCUUUUGUACUCUUCAUUCUUUUGCCAUUAUAGUAAAAUUAUCUUUGCCCGUGGUUUUUUAUCCUCUUUUGAGGGGUUUUUCCACGUUAAAUUUGUGUGUUCAUCUUCUCAAUUUCUUCUACUAUUUUUACUUGUUCGUUGCUUAAUCGGGAUGAUCCUAACAAGUGAUAUCAGAGCUAGUUUAACUUUCAUAGAUCAGCCCGGUCAGAGAUGGCAGCAACAAGGUUUGAAAUUGAGAAGUUCGAUGGUGAGACAAAUUUCAAUCUGUGGCAAGUUCGGAUGAUGGCAAUUCUAGUUCAAAAUGGCUUGAAAAAGGUUGUUACAGGGAAAAAGCCUGAGAAUCUAAAUCAAACAGAAUGGGAAGAGCUUGAUGAAAAGGCCUUGUCUGCAAUCCAGUUGUGCCUCGCGAAUACAGUAUUGCAGGAGGUAUUGAUGGAGAAGACCUCAUUCGCCUUGUGGAAAAGGUUAGAAACUCUUUAUGCGACUAAGUCUCUGGCUAACCGUUUAGUGUUGAAACAACAUCUAUUUACGUUUCGCAUGAACGAAGGUGAGCUUCUUAAAGAUCACAUCAGUCAAUUCAUUACUCUUUUAAAUGAUUUAAAGAACGUUGAGGUUCAUAUUGACGAUGAAGAUCAAGCUAUGCUAUUAUUGUGCUCUUUACCCUCUUAUACAAGUCUUUCAGGGAGACCCUGAUUUAUAGCAGAUAGACAAGCUUCCAUUUUGGUAGCAUCAAAGAAACGAGACAAAAGGUGUCGCUAUUACAAAAAGUUAGGUCACGUCAAAGCAGAUUGUUAUAAACUGCGAAAUAAAAGAGCUGCUGAGAGUAACGAGAAAGAUGUAGCUGGUGCUAAUUUGGUCAAUGAAGGCGGUGAUGAUUUCUUGUUAGUGUCAACGAGCGAUAACUCCAAGCUUACGUCUGAGUGGAUCCUAGAUUCAGGAUGUUCUUUCCACAUGUGUCCCAAUAGAGAAUGGUUCUCCACAUACAGUUCAGUUGAAGGUGGAGUUGUGCACAUGGGAAACGAUUCAUCUAGUAAAAUAAUCGGUAUUGGUACUGUUAAAAUUAGGAUACACGAUGGGACGAUUAGGACACUCUCAGAUGUUAGGUAUGUACCUGAUUUACGAAAGAAUCUCAUCUCCUUGAGUAUUUUAGACUUGAAAGGAUGCAGAAUCAACAUCGAGUCGAGCGACAUUAAAGUAUCUCGUGGAGCUCUCGUUUUGUUAAAAGGUAAAAGAACCGACAGUCUUUAUAUUCUGGAAGGUUCUACAGUGACCGGUGAAAUCAGACGUCCCUCGUCCGUUACGGAGUCAAAGUCAACUCAUUUGAAGUGGAGGCAACUUGGUCAUAGGAGGGAAAAAGGUAUGACUGUUUCGUUGAAGAGAGGUUCUCUUUUGGAUGCAGGUUUUGAAAAGUUAGGGCACUGUAUUCGUGAAAAUCAGACCCGGGUUAGUUUUGAUUUGGCAGUGCACAAGUCGAAGGCUAGAAGUCUUCCAGCUUCUAAGCAUAGAUUCGACUCAGUUAAUUCCCUGCAUAGUUCAAGAUAGGCCCAUGGCGGGUUUUGGCAAAGAUGGCAUUGAAAGAAUUCGUGUCAAGGUGGAGAUUGUUAGAAUUAUGUGACCCAAAUUCUAAGAGAUUGCUUGCAAGUCAAGUUAAACAAAAAUAUAUUUUCUUUCUAGAAGAUUUAGUAUUUAUUAGUAUAAUAUAUUUAGCAUUUAUUAGUAUAGUUUAUUUGACUUACUAAUUUAGCCUAUAAAUAGGCUCAUUUACAAUCUUAGAAUUAAAGAGACACCCAUUAGAUUAGAACUCAUAACACAUUCAGAGAAUUUUGUGUUUACGUUUGAGGGUUUUUUGUUUUUCGGGUUUUCGGGGUUUAGUUUUUAUCUCCAUCUUUUGUACUAUUCAUUCUUUUGCCAUUAUAGUAAAAUUAUCUUUGCCCGUGGUUUUUUAUCCUCUUUUGAGGGGUUUUUCCACGUUAAAUUUGUGUGUUCAUCUUCUCAAUUUCUUCUACUAUUUUUAUUUGUUCGUUGCUUAAUCGGGACGAUCCUAACAACCAUUAAUAUAUAAAACCAAAUAAGUAACAAGAAUGAAGUUUACUUUCUGAUAAUACUAAUCAAUAUGUAUCAUGAACUUAUAUCUCUUUUACUUUUCUCUUUUUCGUUAAAAUAUUUUGUCCUUAGCUUUGUUGUAUUAAUCGCUUAGUCCCCAGCCUCAAAUCUUUAUAUAUCUUAAUUCUUGGGCAAAUCUACAUUAAGAAAAUUACUUUGAAAAUUAUAACACGAAAUUGAUCGUUUAAUAAGCUACUAUCAUGGUAAAGAAUACUUGUAAUCUAUCUUAACUAGACAUUGUACUCAUGUUUGAAUAUGUGUUGGCCAUAUGAAAUCGAACAAAAAUGAAGGGUCCAACUCCAAAUAACUUAGCAUGUACUCACGUUUGAAAGUAAUUUUAGAACAAAGUAGAUUAUUUACAGUUUAUAUUAAAGAUGAAUUAACGCGAACAAGUAAAAAAUUCAGAAAGGAAAUAAAAUGACAAUUGAAUGAUGUGUUUUGAACUAUCAUUACUGAUGGAUAGGAGUGUUACACUAAUCACCAUCUCUAGUUCUCCACCCGGGGAGACUUAUAUCAGCUCUCCAAGGCAAAAAGGAUGGAGAAAAAAAUGUUUACAUGUAUUAGUGAUGUUUACUUUACAAAAUUGUAUCACCUGAUUUGUGUUAAUCAUCUCACAAUUACUACAAGCGAGAGGUAACUUCGAGAAAGGUGUCUUCAUUGCAGGGAAUCGUGAGACCACCAGUAGGAUGACUAUAUCCGAACUCUUCUUGUGACAUGCCUAGCAAAUCUUGAAAUGAAGGCUGGUUUAAGAACGACACCGGUAUCACGAACCUCUUCUGGUUUUCUCCAACAUAAACUGCAAAGUAGCCCUUGGGAACCUUCUUAGAGUUAAUGAUACGAGGCAGGCGGAUAGCCAUUGUUGUUUUCGAUAGAUGUAUUCUUCAAAAGGGAAGAGGAGGAAGAUCUCAGAGAACUUGGAAAUCUAAGGUAAAGAAGUUUAUUACUUGAAAAUGUGAAAGUAGGUAUUGCCAAUGAACUUAGUCUUACUUGUAUAUAUAGAUGCGAGUGGCCAAUGGAAAUGUUUCUCUAUUAAGUGGAGGAUGAGGAAUGAGUGGUGAAGGGACAAUUGCUGGGGUCUGAUCAUUAAUGAGAUAGACAUGGGUUAGUGGGGCAUCACAUGGUGUUGUUUUCCAAAGCAUUAUAAAGAAUUCCAUGGCAAAGACUUGAAAGAAUAGUUUGCCUACCCUUUCCGGCAGAACAAACCAACCAAGGUCCCACUUGAAUAUGGAAGAUUUGGAUCCUUAAAAACCUUCUUCACAGUAGAAGAUUCUUAUUACUUCACCAUUUACAUUAGAGGCAACCUUCAGAGACAAGCAAUCUGUCAUGCUGAAUUCACUCAAAAAAUAUGUCAUACAUGCUACAACUAGUCCCCAGGCUGUUGGUUAUGCUGUGCUGUAAUCAAAUAGUUCCACGGGGGAGAAAGACAACACUAAACCUGACAGCUGACGAAAUCUCCGGUAUGUGUUGCUAUAUAUGGAUAACCUUAGAGAUGAAUCUGUUUCCAUUCCACAUUUUUCUUGGCAUGUAAAUUCAUGGUUCUUUGCAUAUAUUGACUAUUCAUUAUUAUGUAUAAUGUGUUGAAGAACAGAUUUGAUAGCAUCAGCCAUUAAGCUCAAGUCACUUUGUUUAUUUAGUUUUUUUUUUGUAUCGAUGAGCUUUUUCAUAGUAUAAGAUUGGUAUUGUUUCACCAUUGAUGUUAGAGGCAAGCUUGAGACAUGUAAUCUGUUAUACUAUGACCAGAAACAUAUACAUUUGGGCUACCUUGACCUUCUAUGUUGACUUGACUAAGAAAAUGAAAAUAAACUAAGGGGCAUGAAUAUAUCUUUUUUGACACUGUUUUUCAAGGUCAAAAUCCUAGCUAUAACAUAUAUGAAGGUAUAUUUGUUACGUGCAUAUAUUUACUUAUUAUUGAUUAUUAAAGUCUCAUUCUCACCCCCUUUUUCAUCUUACCUAUGUGGCUGACAAAUUGGGGGUAAAGGGUAAGGUAUCAGAUCAAAAGGAAAUUUGUUGUAAAUUGUUAUGUUAGUGCAGGUACUCUGAAACCCAUAAUUCUCAUGUCACUGAAAAAAUCGUAAUGGCAGGAUAUGCACCUCUAAGGCUUCUCAAUAGCUAAGGCAUGAAAAUAUGUAUUAGACAGUAGGAAACUGUUGAAAUAUGUAUAUAUUUUAAAUUUAUUUAGGUAGAUAAGUUUUAUUCAUAUUCUAGGAAUAUUUUUAUUUUAUGUUUUAGUAGUUUAUUAGGACAAUGGAACUAUUUUCUUUCAUAUUUUAGUAGUUUAUUAGAAUAAGGGAACUAUUUUCCCAAUUAGGAUUAGAACUCUUUUCUCUAUUUAAGUUCAAUUCUUCAAUUAAUAAUAUAGAACAGUUUUAUUAAAAGCUCUCUUGAAAACUUUCAUGGCAUCUGAGCUAGGUUAAAAUCUCUAGUAACAUCAUGGUUAAAACAACCUUCACUAGAGAAGAAAAAACCUUGGUGCGAUUACUGCAAAAAAUAUUGGCACACUCGAGAAACGUGUUGGAAGCUCCAUGGGAAAUCGACAAAUGGAAGGAAAAAGAGUGGCAAUGGUCGUGGUUCACAAUUAGGGGAUAGCAGAGCUUUCCAAACAACUAAUGGAAAUUAUAAGGGCUAAAGUUCUCUGGAAGGGUCUCCAUUCACUAAGGAACAAUUAGAGCAUCUACACAAGUUUUUUCAAUCACCACAAUUUCGGAUGAAUUCUUCAAUUCCUAACUCAUCCAAUAAUCCUUCUUCCUCUGUUGCCCAAUCAGGUACUGAUUUUUCUAUUUUUUUCAGUGUCAAGCCUUGUAAAACAAACACAUGGAUCAUUGAUUCUGGAGCUAGUGAUCACAUGACUAGUAGUUAUUUUCUUUUUUCAACUUACAUACCUUGCGCAGGAAACAAAAAGAUCAAAGUAGCAGAUGGGUCCUUCUUGGCAAUAGCCGGGAAAGGCACUGUCAAAAUUUCAUCUUCCUUGGUUUUACAUGAUGUUUUACAUGUGCCAAAUCUAGCUUGUAAUCUCAUAUUGGUCAGUAAAUUAUCCCAGUCCUCAAAUUGUCAUGUUAUAUUUGACUCCUCUAUGUGUAAGUUUCAGGACAUGGUCUCGGGGAGGAUGAUUGGCAAUGCUAAAGAAUUUGGUGGAAUUUACUUUCUUGAAGAUGACCAUCUAAGUCAACCAAUAACUACUUUAUGUUUAAAUUCUGUUUCUGAUAAGGUUAUGAUUUGGCAUUAUAGGCUUGGACAUCCUAAUUUUUACUAUUUAAGAUAUUUGUUACCUAAUCUUUUUAAAAAUAAAAGUCAUUCUUCAUAUCAUUGUGAAUUUUGUGAAUUGCUAACAUCAUCGGUCAUUCUUUCCACUUCAAAAAUAUAAAGCCUCCAAACUUUUUUCGUUAAUUCAUAGUGAUGUUUGGGGACCUUCAAGAGUCUCGACCUUUUCAGGAAAACGUUGGUUUGUCACUUUUAUUGAUGAUCAUACUCGACUUUGUUGGGUGUUUUUAUUAAAAGAUAAGUCUGAAGUUAAAAAUGUGUUUCAAUCUUUUUAUACUAUGGUGAAAACACAAUUUGGUGUGAAAAUAGAAGUAUUUCGGACUGAUAAUGGUGGAGAACUUUUUAGCGACCAAUUAGGUGUUUUCUUAACCAAACAUGGAAUAGUCCACCAAAGUUCUUGUACAAAUACACCAUAGCAAAAUGGGAUUGCAGAAAGAAAAAACCGACAUCUUUUGGAAGUAACUAGAGCCUUGAUGUUCACUAGUCAGGUACCACGUUAUCUUUGGAGCGAAGCCUUGUUAACAGCUACAUAUCUUUUAAUAGAAUGCCCAGUAAAACUCUAAACAAUAGAACUCCUUUUAGUCUCUUUAAAGAUAAUUUUCCUAACUCUAAAUUGAUCACAGAUUUAUCCCUCCGAGUUUUUGGGUGUAGUGUUUUUGUUCAUCUUCACAACCAAGGUAAACUAGAUCCUAGAGCAAAAAAAUGUGUCUUUGUUGGUUAUGCUUCUACUAAAAAGGGUUACAAAUGUUAUGAUCCAAUUGAUAGGAAGAUUAUUAUUACCAUGGAUGUCACAUUUGUUGAAACACAAUCUUAUUUUGAUUCUAAUCUUCAGGGAGGGAAUUAUACUAAGGAAGAUUCUAUAAUUGAUCAAGAAAAGAUUAGGAAUAUACAACAUAGGGAUUCUAAUAAUGGGGAAGGCGAAUUUAUAAUUAACACAGAAAUUAAUGAUGUUAAUGUUAAUGAAAAGGAGGAUGAAGGUGUAGAGUCUAAUCAUGAGAAUAAAAAACAAACAAAGGAGUUAAUUGUUUAUUCAAGAAGAAAUCGAAAUCAAGAAAGUGGAAUCCACUAGAUUCAUCACCAAGAAUCCGACCCGCAAGAUCCUGUCAAAAGUCCAGGUAAAACUCAUAAUCCAGUUAAUGAAUUUUCUGAUUUAAAUAUUUCAAUUGCCAAAAGAAAAGGUGUUAGAAAUAUUGUCAAAUAUCCCAUGUCUAACUUUGUAUCCUAUAAAGCCUUGUCUUCGACAUUCUCAACCUUUGUUUCGUGUCUCGAUACUGUACAAAUACCCAAAAAUGUGAAAGAUGCUUUACAGGUUCCUGAGUGGAAGGAGGCUAUUUUAGAAGAGAUGCGCGCUUUUGAAAAAAUAGGUACAUGGGAAACAAUGGAAUUACCUGUAGGGAAAAAAACAAUGGGCUGUAAAUGGGUGUUCACAACCAAAUUCAAACCAGAUGGAUCUUUAGAUAGAUACAAAGCCCGGUUGGUGGCUAAAGGGUACACUCAAACAUAUAUGAUAGAUUAUCUUGAAACGUUUGCUCCAGUGGCCAAAUUAAAUUCCGUUAGAGUUCUUUUAUCAAUUGCUGUUAAUCUUAAUUGGUCUUUAUAGCAGUUAGAUGUGAAGAAUGCUUUCCUAAAUGGAAAACUUGAAGAAGAAGUUUACAUAGAUCCUCCUCCAGGUUUUGAAGAAAAAUUUGGAACUCGAGUAUGUAAACUCAAGAAAUAUUUGUAUGGUCUGAAGCAGUCUCCUUGAGCUUGGUUUGAACUAUUCACUCAAGUUGUUAAAAAACAAGGUUACUCACAAGGGCAAGCUGAUCACACAAUGUUUUAUCGACAUUCACAAAAAGGUAGAAUAGUAGUUAUUAUAGUUUAUGUCGAUGGUAUCAUUCUUACAGGAGAUGAUGUGGAUGAAAUAAGGCGUCUCAAGGAGCAUCUAGCAUUGCAGUUUGAGAUUAAAGACUUGGGUCCUUUGAAAUACUUUCUUGGAAUGGAAGUUGCUCGAUCAAAGAAGGGUCUUGUGGUCUCUCAGAAAAAAUAUGUGAUUGAUCUUUUAAAAGAGGCUGGGAUGAGUGGUUGCCGCCCAGCUGACACACCAAUUGAUCCAAAUGUAAAAUUCGAAAAUAAAGAAGGUCGAUUAGUUGAUAAAGGGCAGUACCAAAGAUUAGUUGGUAAGUUAAUUUACUUAUCACAUACAAGGCCAGACAUUGCUUUUGCAGUGAGUUUAGUGAGUCAAUUUAUGCACUCCCCAAUGGAGGAACAUGAAGAAGCAGUGUUUCGAAUUCUAAGAUACUUAAAGAGUUCACCGGGAAAGGGCUUAUUCUUCAAGAAAUCCGAACAAAGAGGAAUUGAAGCUUAUACAGAUGCAGAUUGGGCAGGCUCAAUAAUAGAUAGAAGAUCUACAUCAGGAUACUAUACAGGGGAAACCUUGUGACUUGGUGAAGCAAAAAACAAAGUGUUGUAGUAAGAAGUAGUGCAGAGGCUGAGUUUAGAUCAAUGGCUCAAGGAAUUUGUGAAAUGAUGUGGUUAAAAAGAAUUAUGGAAGAGCUGAGGAAACCAAUAACUUCACCAAUGAAGUUGUACUGUGAUAGCAAAGCUGCCAUUAGUAUUGCUCACAACCCAGUCCAACAUGAUAGAACUAAACAUGUUGAGAUUGAUAGACACUUCAUCAAUGAGAAGAUUGAAGAAGGCCAAGUGUGCAUGCCGUUUGUUCCUUCAAAACAACAGAUUGCUGACAUACUCACCAAAGGACUCUCUAAGACAAACUUUGAUUUUCUUGUAAGCAAGUUGGGCAUGAUUGAUAUAUAUGCACCAACUUGAGGGAGGGUGUUGAAAUAUAUAUAUAUUUUAAAUUUAUUUAGGUAGAUAAAUCUUAUUUAGGUAGAUAAGUUUUAUUCAUAUUCUAGGAAUAUUUUUAUUUUAUGUUUUAGUAGUUUAUUAGGACAAGGGAACUAUUUUCUUUUAUAUUUUAGUAGUUUAUUAGAAUAAGGGAACUAUUUUCCCAAUUAGGAUUAGAACUCUUUUCUCUAUUUAAGUUCAAUUCUUCAAUUAAUAAUAUAGAACAGUUUUAUUAAAAGCUCUCUUGAAAAAUUUCAGAAACACCCUUUCAACUAGUAUAAAGAGAGAAAAUAUGUCGCAUGGACUUGCCUGCCAGAAUGUGAACAAAGCUGGUCUGAACUUUCCAUGUUACUUUAUAUUAUCUUGAGAUUUAAUAUCACCACUUCACAACGCAAAUCAGUGGCUAUCCCACCCUGAACUGAUAUUUGUUUGCAGGAGCUGUCCGUAAUGCAAUAUGCCAGGUAUCGAUGGUUAAAUUGUAGGGGCAACUCUGUGGACUAGUCUAACAUUAUCAAAAGUUCCACUGUCAAAUUUCCUGGUUAUCUUCAUUACCUCCAGACACCAAAACAAGCAAGUUGAUCAGCUCAUGUGAUGCUGUUGCUUGACAUAUCCUAAAGGAGAGUGAUGGUCAAAACCGGGGACUAAUCUGACAAUACAGUAUACUUAAUGGGUACAUUAAGCUAAAUAAUAAGCGAUUUUUUCCUUAGAAUGACCAAAUCCACCUCAAAUGGACAAAGAUAAAAGAAAAUAUAACAUUUCAUUGUAUCAGCCAACUUAGAAACUUUUAUAGGUAAAGGCAUACCAUUUAAUCAAAUGACUUGGUCCCAUACCUCAGAUCUUUAUCUAUCUUAAUCCAUUGUCAAAGCUGCUUAAGGAAUUUUUUUACGUGAAUUAUGAAACUAUGUACAUGUAGUUUAUAUUAUGCAUAUUUGAGGGUGAAUGUUGGAGGAUUAUACUCUUGUACUUACAUCUGAAUAUGUGUUGGCUAUAGGUGUUAGAACAGAUAUUUUAAGAAAAAUGAAGUGUUUAUAUAACUUGGCUUGUAUGUUGAAGUAAUUUGUGAACAAUGUAAAUCAUUUACAGUUAAAUUAUAUAUGAAACCAACAAUAACAAUGGGACCACAGGAAAUUAUAAGAAGAAAUAAAAUUUCAAUUGAAUGAUGUGUUCCAAACUGUUACAGAAGCCACCAUCUCUAAUAUUCCACUCAGGGAGACUUAUCAUCUGCUCCCCGAGGCAAAAAGGAUGGGAAAAAAGUGUAAAUGGUGUUAGUGAUGUUUGCUUUACAGAAAUGUAUGAGCUGAUUUGUCUUACUUCAAGCGAGAGGUAACAUCGAGAAAGAUGUCUUCGUUGCAGGGAAUUGUGAGACCGCCAGUAGGAUGACUAUAUCCGAACUCUUCUUGUGACAUGCCUAGCAAAUCUUGAAAUGAAGGCUGGUUCAAGAAUGAAACUGGUAUCACAAACCUCUUCUGGUUUUCUCCAACAUAAACCGCAAAGUAGCCCUUGGGAACUUUCUUAGAGCUAAUGAUACGAGGUAGGUGGAUAGUCAUUGUUGUUUUUGAUAGAUGUAUGCUUCUCAAAGGGAAGAAAAGGAAGAACUCAGAUAACUAGGAAAGCACGCUUGAGAAUGUUGAAGGUAGGAGUUGGCAAUGAACUUAAUCCUACUUGUAUAUAAAGAUGUAUAGGGUAGAGAGGAAAUCAUGUUCAUCUAUUAUUAAGUGGGGAAUGUGCAAUGAGUGGUGAAGGUGCAAUUGCUGGGGUCUGAUCAGUAAUGUGAUAGACGUGGGCUAAUGGGGACUCACUUGGUGUUGUCUUCCAAAGUAUUAUCAAGAAUUCCAUGUCAAAUACUUGAAAGACUGGUUUUCCUACCUUACCGGCAAAAUGAACCGCCUAAGGACCUACUCAGAUAUGGAAGAUUUGGAUCCAUUAAUAGCUUCUUCCUAGUAGAAGAUUUUUAUUACUUCACUAAUGAAAAUAGAGGCAACCUUUAGAGACAUACAAUCUGUCAUGCAAUGAUAGGGAACAAAUAACAUGGAUGACUUUGACCUCCUAUUUCAUACAGACUUCACAUAAAGCUUGUAAGACAAACCCUUGUGAAGAGCGCCUGAAGUGUGUCCUACAGGCUACAAAAACUCCUCAUCUGAACCCAACUUGUUGCGUUUUAUCCAGGUUUGUUGUCUAUGCCGUGCUGCAAUCAAAUAGUUCCAUAGGGGUGAAGACAAUUAGUCCACAUUUCUGGUGGCAUGUUUGUUGUGUUCUUAGCAUAUUUUGACUGUUCGUUAUUAUAUUGGGGAGAACAGAUGUCAUGUCAAAGUCAGAAAGCUAUUCAAACUACAACAAAUUUCAAUGAAGGCUUCUUCUGCACAUGGGACUGUGAGACUACCCCUUAGAUGAUCAAAGCCAAACUCCUCUUCCAGCCUGAUUUAUCAAUUCUUAAAAUGAAGGGUGCUUCAAGAAUGAAAUUGGAUGGCCUUUGGUUAUUUAUGAAGCUGCUGUCACCUUUUGGAUAAGCUGCUUUGUGUGAACAAGUGCAGGUACUGACAAACACGCAAGUCUUAUGAACUGAGAAAUGUUGCAAGGGCAGAAUACGUUCAUCUCUAAGGCUCCUGAAUAGCUAAUGCAAAAAAUAUAUAUAUGAAAGAGUUGGUAGCCCUCUUACUCUUAUCUCAAAAUGGUCAAAAAUCUAUUUGAUGUGACAUUCAGUCAUUUGUAUAUUUGUUUCCAUAUAUAUGACUGGAGUUUAGAGUAUUUGAAAUUUCUUGCAUUUGACCAAUGUUGAUUAACCAUUUAUAUAUAAAACCAAAUAAGUAACAAGAAUGAAGUUUACUUUGUGAUAAUACUAAUCAAUAUGUAUCAUGAACUUAUAUCUCUUUUACUUUUCUCUUUUUUGUUCAAAAUGUUUUGUCAUUAGCUUUGAUAUAUUAACCUCUUAGUCCCUUGCCUCACGUCUUUAUAUAUCUUAAUUCUUUAUCAAAUCCGCAUUAAGAAAAUUACUUUGAAAUGUGUAACACGAAAUUCAUCGUUUAAUAAGUUACUACCAUGCAAAAGAAUACUUGUAGUCUAUCUUACCCGAACUUUGUACUCUUGUUUGAAUUUGUGUUGGACACAUGAAAUCGAAAGAAAAUAAGUGGUCUGACUCCGAAUAACUUAGCAUGUGCUCAUGAUUGAAAGUAAUUUUAGAACAAGGUAGAUCAUUUAUGGUUUAUAUUAAAGAUGAAUCAAUGAGAACAAGUUAAAAAUUCAGAAAGGAAAUGAAAUGACAACUGAAUGAUGUGUUUGGAACUGUCAUUACUGAUUGAUUGGAGUGUUACAGUAAUCACCAUCUCUAGUUUUCCACUUUGGGCGACUUAUAUCAGCUCUCCAAGGCAAAAAGAAUGGACAAAAAAAAAUGUUUACAUGUAUUAGUGAUGUUUACUUUACAAAAUUGUAUUGGCUGAUUUGUGUUAAUAAUCUCACAAUUAAUACAAGUGAGAGGUAACUUUGAGAAAGUUGUCUUCGUUUGAGACCGCCAGUAGGAUGACUAUAUCCGACGUGACGUGAUACUGGAUUUCAUGAUGCGCUAAUGCAGUUUUUAAAGUGUUUUUUACUUGACAUUCUACAGAGAUUAAAGGAGCACCUUGAGCUCUGAGGCAGAUGCUUGUUCCUUAGCUCACACUUCCAAUGUUAAUGUAACUUUGGAAAACACAGGGUUUGCAAAUGUUGAUUUUUAGCAAAAGGUUAAAUGAGCUCUCCUCUCUUAUUCUAAAUCAGAUUUAACUAUGAAACUUUUUAAUAAUAAAAAAAAACUAUAUCUAGUAUAGCUAUGAGAUAUGACAUAGCUUCCAAAAAUUUGGAUACGAGAUAUAUCUUCAAAGGUUCACUGUUUGGGGUCUGCACUAGAAUUUCAGUACUCUGGGCAGCACUAAAAUUUGAGUUUCACCAGCAACCUCAUUUGAUGGGUGAUCUAUCUAUGAGGCCUAUGGCAAUCGGAAUUGCCUCUCCUAACCUAAACUUUUUCUGAGGCCAUGCUUUAUGCUGCAGCAGAUGAAAACCAAGCCCUUGAAUUAAACCAGGGACAUGCAUUCAAGUAAACAUCCAUGAAUCUGGUUCUUCCUAAAACCAUGAAAAAUCAUCAUCUCACUCCUAAAUUCCCAAUUUUCAAAUGAAUGUUAUCUUAUUCAAGACCAUUCUAAUUCCUAAAUCAGACUCACAGUUUCCUAGGGGCUCUGCUUCCUCAACUACUAAUAACUGUUGCAUAUAAUAAAUACGGUUUUCUCUGGUUCUUAUGCAACAACCAUUCAAAACACUUAAACAGUUUCCAGAACUUAAAUCAACAAAUAUAAAAGCAAAGCUACUAAUAACAAAAACCCUUAAAAUUGUACAAAAAUUUUAGCUUUAUUAUUACAGCUAUUACAAAAGAGAGAAAAAAAAAGGCAUAGAUUUUGAAAAAUAAUCAGAUGAGCUUGAAGGGGAGAGGCCAAGGGGUGGACCUGGGAACUUCGACCUUGUCUUUGAUACGUUCAAUCUUCUUCUCCUUCUUGGGCCUGGCGUUCCCGUACGAUCCUUUGAAUCUCUUCCCUUUCUUCGUCUUCUUGUCACCUCUGCCGCAAACGGUCGGUACCGGCGGCGACGCCAUUACUCCAAUAGGCGAAGCCGAUGAUAGCGGAGGCCACUGCUUCAUCAACACUCUCCUUGCUACGGCGCCGUACCACUGAAUCAUCGCCAUUUCCUCUGCUAUCUCUCACUAACGGAGGCAGACAAUAGAAGCCUAGAAAUAGAAUCAUUUAUUUUUUAAGUGGGCUUUAUUUUUUCUUUUGAUCUGAUAUAUUUUGGGCUACCUAUUAACCAUCCCCCUUUCAAUUGCUUUCAUUUAAUCCACUUUUUUUUGUUUUAUAUUAAUUUUUAUUUUAAAAAAAAACCUUUGUUUUCUGAUUUUUAACUAAUUUUUUUUCAUAAAUAUUUUUAAAAACUAAUAAUGUCUUAAGUAAAAUUUAAUAUUCAAGUACUUAUAUAUAUACUAGUUUUUUUAUUCCUGUAAAGCACGAGAUUUUUGUAUAUAAUAAUUAAAAUUUAUUAAAUUAGUUCAUAUGAGUUUUUAAUAUUUUUAAUAUUUUAAAAAUAAUUAUUAAUUUACAAGAUCAAAAUAUUAGUAUCACUUUUAAAAAUAUUAUAAUUGAUAUUAGAGUCAAUUAAAAAUAAUAAUAUUUGAUAAAUAAAAUAUCAUUAGAUUAAAAAUCUUGAGACAUGUAAUCUUGUUGGGAACUCAAGGAGCCCAACACACCCACUACAGAAGAUUUAUGUUCUACUUAAUGUUACAUCAACUCUACCUUAUAUUUUCGAACUUAUUAGUAUACUAUAAUAUUCAUGCGGUAGGUUCGAUUAUUCAGGCGGUAAAACCGACCAUAUAUCAUUCAUGAUAUAUAAAGAUGCUAACCCAAGUGCACUUGUUAGAUAUAGUUAGUCUGUUGCAACUGAGUUUGGCAUCUUAUCCACGAUCAGUGCUGAACUCUUGUCAUCUUUUACAGGUACUGCUACGGCUCAUGAAGUCUGGAGCAAGGCAUGUCAAUUGUUCGCGGCAACGUCUGCUGCUAAGGUGUCUCGCUGAAACACGAGUUACAGUUUGUCUGACUAAGAUCAAGAAACUGUGUGAUCUGCUUGCUGCUUCGAGUAACCAUGUGUCGAACGAUGAACAAGUUGGCAUCGUUCUUGCGGUGCUUUCAAUCAAUUUUGAGGCCGUUGUCACGAUUGCCUCCUUUGUGCAGGAGCUGUUGAAAAUGGAUCGCCUGGUGGGUAUCCUCCUUGAAUGUAAGAAUCGACAAUAUAAAUUUGUGCUCGAGACUCCGGUGUAGGCUAAUCUGGUGCAUCACUUCUCUGCUUCUUCUUUUCUGGCUUCUCCUUUCGAUUCGGUUUCUUUUCAAUGGAGUGGUCGUGCCUUCUCCUGCGGUCGUGGCCGGAUUUCGAGGGGUCACUUCCAAUGUCAGAUUUACCGGCGUCUUGGUCAUCUGGCCCAGAGUUGCUACUACCAGCUUUACCAGUCUUUUGAUGGCAUUCCGAUGAACGAUCACUCUCGGUCUCCUAAGGAUUUUUCGGCAGAUGAGUCAGUUGCAGAUGGGGAGACUGGUUUCCCUUCUUUUUGUGAUUCUCUUGCUAAUAAGGUUUCUUCUAAUAGGCUUCAAGUUGGCCCGGUUACAUCUUUAGGCCCUGUGGCUAAUUAGGUCACCUAUCUGCCUCAACCCAAUGUUUUUGGUUUUGGUCAUUCUGCUGUGUUCGGGCCUAGCUCCCAGCCUAUUGGUCAUAUUGUGUGUGCUAGGUCAUGUAGUUUUCCGUUUGCUGGGAUUUCACAUGGGACUUCCCCAAGUUGUGCUUCGGUUGGGCCAUUGUCUAGAUUUACUUUGGGCAAUACUGGUGCGACGCCUUUUUCACCUAGGUCUAUGCAUUUUCACACUGAUUCUGGAUCUUCGCAUUCCUACGCUGAUGGCCCUUCUAUGUUUUACUCAGUUGGGUUGAAUGCUUCUGGAUCUGGGUCUUGUUUUGGGUCACCUAUUGUUCACUCUACCAGGCUUGUUUUACCUCCUACAUUUUUCGCUCGACCAAAUGUUUCUUUGCCCCAACCGUCUGCUGAGCCAUUUGUUUAGUAUCCCGACUUGGGUGUCACUAAUCACAUGUGUCAGGAGGUCUCGUUAUUAAAUAAAUCAAGUGAAUAUUCAGGUAAUAUUCCUUUACUUAUGGGUGAUGGUACGAGUGCCCGUAUUGAACAUUUUGGACACAAUACAAUUCCUAUGUUUCGUAAAUUUUUGCAUUUAACAAAUGUGUUGUAUGUGCCUAAGAUUUAGAAAAAAUUUGCUAUCGGUUUCUCAAUUUGCUCGGGAUAAUAAUGUAUUUUUCAAGUUUCACCCAUCUCAUUAUCUUGUAAAGGAUGUACAAACACAAGAGAUUUUGCUUCGAGGCCAUACGCAUGACGGAUUGUACUCGAUUUUCUUCGGUAUUGCCAACUGCUGAUAUGGGGAUCAUUUGAGGAGCCGAGAUGUGUCUUCAUAAUAUUGUGGCAUCGUCGACUUGGACAUCUGUCAUUAAAUGUUGUUAGUUCAUUUUUAAAGACUUGUAAUGUUGUUGAUACUAAUAAAUUGCAGCAUGCCUGCUCUGCUUGUCAACAAGGGAAGUUCCACAAGUUACCGUUUUUUGCUUCCACCACUAUAUAUCAUCCGUUUGAUUUAGUUGUUUUGGACUUAUAUUUCUGUUAGUUGUGGGCCUAGUUGGUAUUAUAUUUCUUUUGUUGACGUAUAUAGCCGGUUUACAUAGUUGUUUCUUAUUCAAAAGAAGUCUCAAGUUAUUGACUGUUUUGUUUGAGAGAAGGUUGCUGAUGAAUCUCUUGUUGUUGGAGAGGUACCUGCAUGUGAUCAGGUUGCCGAUAUCCUCGCCAAACCAUUGUCUUCUUCUCAUUUUUGCAGGCUUUGACAGCUGUCUUGAUAUUGUAGUAGUUGGGUGAAUGUUAAAGAUAGUUAGUCUAUUGCAACUGAGUUUGUUAUUAGUUAGUAGCAGUUAUUUCCUUUCGUAUGUGUAUAAAUUCACUACUUGUGUAUUCAUUCAAUCAAACAAUAGUUCACAAGAUUAUUCACAAAGUUAGUAUAAUUAGUUUUUUUGCUAGUUUAUAUGUCAUCUAAGCAUUUAAGGCUUAACCGAGAUUUACAAUUACAAGAGGAGAGAACACUUUUAUUAAUAUAUAAUAUAAUUAUAAUAUGACACACACUUCUCUAUUGCACAAACUUGUAAGAAUGAAGUUCCUACCUCUAUUAGUGGUCAUUGGAUUGUUGAUACAUGUCAACAUCAUCGUCAUUAAUUUUACAAAUAUCUAAUAGUUAGAAUGUUCAUCUAAAAUAUUUAAUCUUCUAGAUAAUAUCCUAUUUCUUUAUUUUAUAUUCUAUAAUCUUCCAAAGAAAAUAUUUGUUAAAAGAUAAGUUUGGUAUUUAUCUAGAAGUUGCAUUGGCCUUCAACAAAUCUGUUAAACAAUGAACUGAAAUAUAUAUAUAUUUAUAUAUAUGGGCUACUUUCACCUUCUAUGUUGGCUCUAAGAUUCUCACGACAUAUAUGAUACAUAUAUUCCUGUUGAUGUGGUCCAUUGACAUAUAUCACGAGAGAGCUGUCACAUGGGCUUGCCUGCCAGAAAGUAAAUAAAGUUUUAGCGAAACUUUCCAUGUUGCUUUAUAUUAUUUUGAGGUCUAAGAUCGCCACUUCACAAAUUAAACCAGUGCUGUCCCACCCUGAACUGAUAUUUGUUUGGAGGAGCUGUUUGUAAUGCGAUAUGCCGAUUAUCAAUGGUCUAAGAAUAGUUUUCCUGCCUUGCUGGCUGGUAGGUCCCUAGUCGAUUCAUUUUUCCUGCAUGACAGAUUGUAUGUCUCUAAAGGUUGCUUCUAAUGUCAAUGGUGAAGUUUUAAAAAUCUUCUACCGUGAAGAAGCUUUCUAAGGAUCCAAAUCUUCCAUAUUCGAGUGGGUCCUUCGUCGGUUUGUUUUGCCACAAGGGGUAGGCAAACUAAUCUCUCAAGUAUUCACCAUGGAAUUCUUGAUAAUGCUUUUGAAGACAACACCAUGUGAUUCCCCAUGAACCCAUGUCUUUCUCAAUACUGAUCAAAUCCCAGCAGUUGCACCUUCACCACUCAUUCCACAUCCCCACUUAAUAAUAGAUGAAUAUGAUUUCCUCUCUGCCCUACACAUCUAUAUAUACAAGUAAGAGUAAGUUCAUUGACAACAACUCCCUUCAACACUCUCAAGCUUUCUUUCGAAGUUAUCUGAUAUCUUUCUUUUCUUCCCUUUUGAAGCAUACAUCUAUCAAAAACAACAAUGUCUAUCCGCCUGCCUCGUAUUGUUAGUUCUAAGAAAGUUCCCAAAGGAUACUUUACAGUUUAUGUUGGAGAAAACCAGAAGAGGUUCGUGAUACCGGUUUCAUUCUUGAACCAUCCUUCAUUUCAAGAUUUUCUAGGCAUGUCACAAGAAGAGUUCGGAUAUAGUCAUCCUACCGGCGGUCUGACAAUUCCCUGCAAUGAAGACACCUUUCUCGAAGUUACCUCUCGCAUGUAUUGAUAGUGCGAUGAUUAACACAAACUGUUAGGAUCGUCCCGAUUAAGCAACGAACAAGUAAAAAUAGUAGAAGAAAUUGAGAAGAUGAACACACAAAUUUAACGUGGAAAAACCCCUCAAAAGAGGAUAAAAAACCACGGGCAAAGAUAAUUUUACUAUAAUGGCAAAAGAAUGAAGAGUACAAAAGAUGGAGAUAAAAACUAAACCCCGAAAACCCAAAAAACAAAGAACCCUCAAACGUAAACACAAAAUUCUCUGAAUGUGUUAUGAGUUCUAAUCUAAUGGGUGUCUCUUAAUUCUAAGAUUGUAAAGGAGCCUAUUUAUAGGCUAAAUUAGUAAGUCAAAUAAACUAUACUAAUAAAUGCUAAAUAUAUUAUACUAAUAAAUACUAAAUCUUCUAGAAAGAAAAUAUAUUUUUGUUUAACUUGACUUGCAAGCAAUCUCUUAGAAUUUGGGUCACACAAUUCUAACAAUUUCCACCUUGACACGAAUUCUUUCAAUGCCAUCUUUGCCAAAACCCGCCACGGGCCUAUCUUGAACUAUGCAGGGAAUUAACUGAGUCGAAUCUAUGCUUAGAAGGUGGAAGACUUCUAGCCUUCGACUUGUGCACUGCCAAAUCAAAACUAACCCGGGUCUGAUUUUCACGAAUACAGUGCCCUAACUUUUCAAAACCUGCAUCCAAAAGAGAACCUCUCUUCAACGAAACAGUCAUACCUUUUUCCCUCCUAUGACCAAGUUGCCUCCGCUUCAAAUGAGUUGACUUUGACUCCGUAACGGACGAGGGACGUCUGAUUUCACCGGUCACUGUAGAACCUUCUAGAAUAUAAAGACUGCCGGUUCUUUUACCUUUUAACAAAAUGAGAGCUCCACGAGAUACUUUAAUGUCGCUCGACUCGAUGUUGAUUCUGCAUCCUUUCAAGUCUAAAAUACUCAAGGAGAUGAGAUUCUUUCGUAAAUCAGGUACAUACCUGACAUCUGAGAGUGUCCUAAUCGUCCCAUCGUGUAUCCUAAUUUUAACAGUACCAAUACCGAUUAUUUUACUAGAUGAAUCGUUUCCCAUGUGCACAACUCCACCUUCAACUGAACUGUAUGUGGAGAACCAUUCUCUAUUGGGACACAUGUGGAAAGAACAUCCUGAAUCUAGGAUCCACUCAGACGUAAGCUUGGAGUUAUCGCUCGUUGACACUAACAAGAAAUCAUCACCGCCUUCAUCGACCAAAUUAGCACCAGCUACAUCUUCCUCAUUACUCUCAGCAGCUCUUUUAUUUCGCAGUUUAUAACAAUCUGCUUUGACGUGACCUAACUUUUUGCAAUAGCGACACCUUUUGUCUCGUUUCUUUGAUGCUACCAAAACGGAAGCUUGUCUAUCUGCUUUGCUAUUCAAAUCAAACUCAUUGUCAAGUUUGUCUCUACUCAACAAAUGACCCUUCACAUCUUCGAACGAGAGUUUGUCUCUGCCAUAAAUCAGGGUCUCCCUGAAAGACUUGUAUGAAGAGGGUAAAGAGCACAAUAAUAGCAUAGCUUGAUCUUCAUCGUCAAUAUGAACCUCAACGUUCUUUAAAUCAUUUAAAAGAGUAAUGAAUUGACUGAUGUGAUCUUUAAGAAGCUCACAUUCGUUCAUGCGAAACGUAAAUAGACGUUGUUUCAACACUAAACGGUUAGCCAGAGACUUAGUCGCAUAAAGAGUUUCUAACCUUUUCCACAAGGCGAAUGAGGUCUUCUCCAUCAAUACCUCCUGCAAUACUGUAUUCGCGAGGCACAACUGGAUUGCAGACAAGGCCUUUUCAUCAAGCUCUUCCCAUUCUGUUUGAUUUAGAUUCUCAGGCUUUUUCCCUGUAACAACCUUUUUCAAGCCAUUUUGAACUAGAAUUGCCAUCAUCCAAACUUGCCACAGAUUGAAAUUUGUCUCACCAUCGAACUUCUCAAUUUCAAACCUUGUUGCUGCCAUCUCUGACCAGGCUGAUCUAUGAAAGUUAAACUAGCUCUGAUACCACUUGUUAGGAUCGUCCCGAUUAAGCAACGAACAAGUAAAAAUAGUAGAAGAAAUUGAGAAGAUGAACACACAAAUUUAACGUGGAAAAACCCCUCAAAAGAGGAUAAAAAACCACGGGCAAAGAUAAUUUUACUAUAAUGGCAAAAGAAUGAAGAGUACAAAAGAUGGAGAUAAAAACUAAGCCCCGAAAACCCGAAAAACAAAGAACCCUCAAACGUAAACACAAAAUUCUCUGAAUGUGUUAUGAGUUCUAAUCUAAUGGGUGUCUCUUAAUUCUAAGAUUGUAAAGGAGCCUAUUUAUAGGCUAAAUUAGUAAGUCAAAUAAACUAUACUAAUAAAUACUAAAUAUAUUAUACUAAUAAAUACUAAAUCUUCUAGAAAGAAAAUAUAUUUUUGUUUAACUUGACUUGCAAGUAAUCUCUUAGAAUUUGGGUCACACAAUUCUAACACAAACCAGCCAAUACAAUUUUGUAAAGAAAAAGUCACUAAUACAUGUAAACAUUUUUUUCUUCAUCCUUUUUGCCUUGGGGAGCUGAUAUAAGUCUCCCCAAGUGGAAAGCUAAAGAUGGUGAUUACUGUAACACUCCUAUCAAUUCAGUAAUGACAGAUCCAAAGUCCAAACACAUCAUUCAGUUGUCAUUUUAUUUCCAUUCUGAAUUUUUUACUUGUUUUACGUUAAUUCCAUCUCUACCUUAUUCUAAACUUACUUCAUACACAAUCUAAGUUAAAUGGAGAAGCAGUAGAGUACAACUGUUCUACUUUGAAGAAGCAUUUUAAAAAUUGACAGUUCAAAACACAUCAUUCAAUUGAAAAUUUAUUUCUUUAGAUAAUUUCCUAUGGUACCCUUGUUAUUGAUAAUUUCAUCUUUAAACUGUAAAUGAUCCACAUUUAUUCAAAAAUUACUUCAUCCUAAACUGUAAAUGACUAGGAUUUAUUAUUUUUCACUAAAUAUACGAGUAGUAAGAUGCUUCCCACUGUCGAAUAUAUAUAUAAUUGUACAUAUAUAAUCUAACAUAAUGCAAAUUUCUGUAUAAUUGUGUCUCCAUUGCUCCUGUAAAGGAAAUUCAAAGUAAAAUUCACCACCCACUUUUAUUAUGUUUUUUUGCCAACAAUGACUACUUAAUAUAUAGAUGUCAGCAAGUGGAAUGUAAGGCCACCAUCAUCAUCACUUUCACUAUCAAAUUCCCAUUUGACCAGUCUAUCUCCCCUUAUCCCAAUCAUUUAGCUAAAGUGCUAAGCUUUUACUGUUACUAAUAAAUGGUCAAUAUACGCAGAGAACUCCACAAACAUGCCAUCAGUAAUGUGGAUUAAAAACAUAUUCAUCUGUCAGGCUUAAUAUUAUCUUUCUCCCCCAUGGUACAAUUUGAUUGCCGCUAAUGCAACAAGUUGGGUUCUGAUGAGGACUAGUAGCAGCCUAGAGGAUACACUUCAGGUGUUCUUCACAAGGGUUUGUCUUACAAGUAACUUAUUGAAGUUAACACAUGAUUGAUCGGACCAUGUGAUUUACCAAUGAAUUCUUGAUAGUCCUUUGCAAGACAACACCAUGUGGUUCAGCAUGAACCUAUGGCUUUCUCAUUACUAAUCAGACCCCAGCAAUAUGUCUCUUCACCACUCAUUCCCUUUGGCCCCCUUACAUCUAUAUAUACAAGUAUGAUUAUGUUCAUAUGCAACACAUAUCUUCACAUCCUCAAAGUAUUAUAGUUCUCUGAGAUAUUCCUCUUUCUACCCUUUUGAAGCAUACUCCAUUGAAAAACAACCAUGGCUAUUCGCUUGCAUCGUAUCGUUAGUUUUAAGAAAGUUCCCAAGGGCUACUUUGCAGUUUAUGUUGGAGAAAACCAGAAGAGGUUCGUGAUACCAGUGUCGUUCUUGAGCCGGCCUUUAUUUCAAGAUUUGCUUGGCAUGUCACAAGAAGAGUUUGGAUAUAGUCAUCCUACAGGCGGUCUCACAAUUCCCUGCAACGAAGACAUUUUUCUCGAUGUUACCUCUCGUUUGAAUUGAUUGUGAGAGAUUCAACACAAAUCAGCCUAUACAAUUCUAUAAAGCAAAAAUCACUAACACCAUGUAAACAUUUUUUCCUCCAUCCUUUUUGCCUUGGGGAGCAGAUACAAGUCUCCCUAAGUGAAAAAUUAGAGAUGGUGAUUGCUGUAACUUCUAUCAUCAGUACGGAAAAUGAAAGUUCAAAACACACCAUUCAAUUAGAAUUUUAUUUACUUCCAGAAUUUCCUAUCUUUAAAUUAACUGUAAAUGAUCUACCUUGUUCUAAGUUAUUCGGACUCUUCAUUUUCAUUGGAAUACAUGCAUCCAACACAUAUUGAAACAUGAGUUCAAAAUAGCAUGAUUCUCCAAAUAUAUGAAAACACUUAGAAGAUGUAUUCAACAUUCAAGCACAAGUCCGAGUAGCAUAGACUAUAAUAAUGAAUAGUCUUAUAUCCCCAUAUUGCAAUCUUUUUGCCAAAGAGUUAAAGCUUCGUUCUUUUUUCAAGUAGGAAUUAGUCUUUAUAUAUAUUAAUGAAUAGUCAAAAUAUUCAGAGAACACUUAACAAACAUGUCGUCAAACGAGUGGACUAAAAACAGAUUCAUCUGCAAGGUCAACCAUAUAUAGCAACACAUACCAGAAAUUGAGUGAGCUGUCAAGCUGAAUAUUGUCUUCGCCUCCAUAGAACUAUUUGAUUGCGGCACGGCUAGACAAAAACAAGGAUAAAAUGCAACUAGUUGGGUUCUGAUGAGGACUAGUUGCAGCCUGUAGGACACACUUAAGUUGCUCUUCACAAGGUUUUGUCUUACAAGAUCCAUACUUAUUAAAAUCAACAUGCUCGGUCAAGGUCACCCAUGUUACAUGUUUCCUGUCAUUGUGUGAUAGAUUAUAUGUCUCUAAAGUAGGCACUGACAUAAAUGGUGAAGUGGUACAACUCUUCUAUUGUAAAGAAGAAUUUUACUGGUCCAGAUCUUUCAUUCCACCGGUCUUUGGUCAGUUUCUAUUGCCAUAAGGGAUAGGCAAACUAAUUUUUCAAAGCCUUUCCCAUGGAAUUCUUGAUAAUAAGUUACAAGACAGCACCAUGUGAUCCUCCCCAAACGAAGCCAUGUCUUUCAUUAGUUAUCAGACCCCAGCAAUCUCCCCUUCACCACUCAUUGAACAUCCCCACUCAACACAGGAACAUGAUUUUUCUGUCUACCCCUUUCAUCUUGUUGGUGUUAACGAGCAAGGGAGCAGCUAGUCGAGCUUGGCUUAAGUAGCAAGUCACGAUGCUUGCUGAACAAACAAGAAAGAAUCGAGCAAAAGAAAAGAAGAAGGAAGAAAAACAGAAGAAGAAGUAAUGGAAUUAGUUGAGAGUAUUGAUGAAAAUGAAGUGUAUUUCAUUCAUACAUACAUCACCAUUAGCAUGUUAUCAUUACAUAUAUCAGAAUAAAAAAACUUACAAGUCAAAUUUCUACCUAAACAUAUACCUACUUCCACUAAGCUUUUCAAAUAACAAAAACUUAACUUGUACAUUAACACAAAGCUGGUUAACAGCUCCAUCAACAUCAAAUUACAUCAAUCAAAAGGCUUAUAGUAAACCAGACUUCAAAAUGAACAAAAUAUUAGUUCAAAUCCAACAGCAACACAAAACCAAGGUUGCUACAUGCUUGUCACGAGCUUGCAUGGCCAGCUUCCAGCUGCACUUGCUUCAUACCAACUGCAUGGAUAUCAGCUUCAACACAUGUAUAUAUACAAAGAAGAAUAUGUUCGUUGGUAACACCUAUCUUCACAUUCUCAAGUAAAGAAGUUUCCAAGUUCUCUGAGAUCAUCCUAUUCUUCCUAUUUAGAAGCAUAUAUCUAUCAAAAACAACAAUGGCUAUCCACCUGCCUCGAAUCAUUAGCUCUAAGAAAGUUCCCAAGGGCUACUUUGCAGUUUACGUUGGAGAAAACCAGAAGAGGUUCGUGAUACCAGUGUCAUUCUUGAACCAGCCUUUAUUUCAAGAUUUGCUCGGCAUGUCAGAACAAGAGUUCGGAUAUUGUCAUCCAACCGGCAGUCUCACAAUUCCCUGUAACAAAGAUAUCUUUCUCGAUGUCACCUCUCGAUUAAACUGAUUUGUGAGAGAUUUAACACAAAUCAACCCAUACAUUUUUGUAAAUCAAGCAUCACUAACACUAUGUAAAUACCUUUUCUCCCAUCCUUUUUUGCCUUGUUACUGUAACUUCUACCAAUCAGUAAAAAAAAAAUGACAGUUGAAAGCACAUUGUUCAUUUCAAAUUUUAUUUCUUUUCAGAGUUUCUCCUGUCAUUGUUAGUUUCAUCUUUAUUUUAACUGUAAAUGAUCUACAGUGUUGAAAAUUUACUUCAACCAACAAGCUAAGUUUUAUAGACUCUUCAUUUUUCUUAAAAGAAUCUGUUCUAACUUCUAACACCUAUAUCCAACACAUACUUGGCUAUUAGUAUGAGAGUAUGAUCCUCCAAAUAUAUAAAAGAUUUUAACAUUGAAGAAAAGUGUCUUAUCUCCUGUUCAAACCAUUUUUUUGAUAUCAACUUUUUAUUUAAAAAAAAGAAAAAAUAAGACUCGCCACCAAUACUUUUUUUAUGAGGUAUGAUCGGAUCAAUUCGUAAUUUGAUCGUUUUAAUAAAAGAUUUGAUUUACUAAAACAACGAAUUAGUACCUAGUUGAUUACUUGAUGUCUUAGUGCCGAAAGUUUAAAACUCAAAAAGAAUUUUAAAAUAUGAUCCCUCUUUAUUAAUAUUAUUUUUACUAAAAAAAAUUCUUAAAUAAAUCGAAAUAAAUAUUAAAGACCCUCUCAUCUCGAGAUAACAAAAUGUCACAUUCCGUAAGUUAGGACACGACACAUUGAAUCUUUGAGAAUAAGCUUGUCUUUUUAUUUUUUUUUGUAUUUAAAUCUUAUUUAUUUUAAUUUUAAAAAGAUAUUCGGUCACUUAGGUUCAACGAUAAAAUCGAAUCCCGUAAGUUAGGGUAUGACUUUCUCGAAUCUCCAAAUACGAAACAUUGCUUAUUUUUAAAUUUUCCUUUUUGAAAAAUAACAAGUUAUAUUUAAAACAAUGGAUAUUUAUCUUAUUUAAAAUGAUGAUAUGCAAAUAAAAUUGUCACGCUAAUAAAUAGCAAUAAUAUGAAUAUACUAAUAAAAACAAUUCACGAUAAUCACAUAAUAUAUACUAUUUUAAUACUAAUAUGAACAAUAAAAAAAACUAAUAAAAAAAUAAUAACAAUAAUAAUAGUAAAAUCUAAAUUUGAAAUAUAUUAAAAAUAGUAAAUAAAUAAAUAAAUAAAAAGGCACCAUAAAAGAAAAUAUAAAAAAGCCAAUUGUAAAAAUAAAAUAAAUAAAUAAGUGAAUAUAAAUAAAACAUUAAUAAAUAAGUGAAUAUAAAUAAAACAUUUGAUUAAAAAUUAAAAAUAAAUAAAUAAAUAAAACAAAAUAUACAUAAAACAGUUUAAAAUAAUAAAAAAUUUUGAAGUUAAAUAGACUAAGGAUUGAAUUGAAAUUAAAAGGGAGUUUUAGGCUUAAAUUAUAAUAAAAUAAAUGCAAAAAGGACUAAAUUGAACUUUAAAUGAAAUUUUAGGGACAAAUCGAGAUAAAACAAAAAUAAAGGACUAAUUGUAGUGCUCGAGAGACAGGGACCGAAUGGGAGAAUAUCCCAACUUCCCUAUGCGCAUCGUUCAAGAUGACUCAAAAAAAAAUUAAAUUAAAUGGGAUAAAUUUUAAAAGAAAAAAAAACAUAGGACCAUAUUGUAAAUCUUCAAAAAAGCAGAAGGGUCACAAGCGCAAAUAACCCAUAUUUUAAAAAACAUGCGGAUCCUAGCUCUUGGGUCUGGUCAGGUCUGACGCGUGUCAAAGGCCAAAACGACUCGCAUUUUAGCGUCUGAAAAUGAAAUCCAAAACGACGCCGUUUUGGAAAGCUAUAAAACCAGAAAUUUUAAGAAAAAAAAUCAUUUACUUCUCUUUAAAAAAAAAUUCUUUCUCUUCUUUUUUCUCUGGGCACUACCUAAGAUUCGGCCAUCAGUGCCGUCGUGGACCACCGUGGCCACUGGCCACCAGCGAUGGUAACCACCGUCUCUGGUGGCAAAAAAUUUCCAAAAAAAUCAUCUUUUGAUCCUCUCGACUCCCAGAAUCCAAAUCUAGGGUCGGUUUUUUAGAAAAGUGGCCAAAAAAUCGCCAAAAGGGGAUUGGACCCUUCGACUCCCGACAACGGAGAACAAAACUAGGUAACUUUUUACUGUAUUAUAUAUAAUAUUCAAAAGAAAAAUGAAGGAAAAGACCACAUUUGAAAAUUUGGCUGCUUUUUAUUUCGAUUUUUUUGUGUGUAUUUCUCCGUGUAAAAAAAGUACAUCUUGAAUUCAGCUUUUAUAGCUGAUUUAUAUAUUUUCUUUUUAUUAUAUAUACUGUUCAUUUGCUUCUUAUCUUUUUAUUCUUUCCGUUUUUACAGGAGGUGUGGAGUCAACGAUGAUGAGAGAAACAUGACUUUGUCAUUUUAGUGCAAGGGCAACAGAAGAGGCGUCAGGCUUUAGGGCGCGAGUCUCAGGUGACCUGAUCGAGGAAAAGCGGCAAGGGGGCUAAGGUUUUUUUGCUUUACUGAAAAAUGUUUAGUUUAUUGGGCCAUUAGGCCGUUAGAGUUAUUAUUAUUAUUUUGGGCUCGUAAGUUUAGAUUGUUAUUAUUAUUAUUUUUUUAUUCUUGAUUUGUUUUUUUUUUGUUCGGCCGGGCAAAAAUGACCGAUUUACAUUCCCAAUUUUUAGUUGUGUUUCAACAAGAAAGAUAAAAUCUUGCUAUUUUUUAUAUUCCAUUACCUUAGUCCAGUCAACAUAGAAUGUCAAGGUAGUCCAUAUAUACUUCCUUCUGGUCAUUGUAUAACACAUUACAUGUCUCAUGCUUGCCUCUAACAUCAAGAUAAAAUCAUUUGUAGUUGGACUCUUCAUUUUCUUCAAAAUACAAGUGCCCGGCACAUAGUCAAACAUGAAUAUAAAGUAUAUAAUCCUCCAAAUAUAAGAAAAAAAACUUAGAAAAAUUUGAGAACACCCGUAUUCAAUACUCAAGCUCAGGUCCUGGUAACAUAGACUACAAGUAUUCUUUUGCAUUUUAGUAAGGUUAUCAAAUGAUCAAUUUUCUUUCAUAAAUCUCAAAGUAAUUUUCUUAAUGCAGAUUUGACAAAGAAUUAAUACCUAUGUCUCACUGUUCUUCAAAAGCCAGAAAUCAAUUUUUAACUAUAUAGACAAAGUGACUUGAACUUAUAUAUGCAGAUAACUCAAAAAUAUCAGAAAUGUGGAUUAAAAACAGAUUCAUCUGUAAGGUUAUUAAUAUAUAUAUAUAGCAGCACAUACCAGAAAAUUUUGGUUAGUUGUCAAGGCUUAAUAUUGUCAUGGAACAAUUUGAUUGCAGCAUGGCAUAGACAACAACCAGGAUAAAAUGCAACCGGUUGGGGUUCCAAUGAGGACUAGUUGUAGCAUGUACACACACUUAAUGCGUUCUUCAGAAUGGCUUGUCUUACAAGUUACUCACCAAAGGAAGACAUGAAUGUAAUAGGAGAGGUCAAUGUCACCCAUGUUACAUGUUUCCUGUCAUUGUCUGACAGAUUAAAUGUCUCAAAUGUAACCGGAAAUAAACGGCAAAGUAGUCGGUCCUUAGUCGGUUAUCCUUUCAAGUCUUAGCCAUGGAAUUCUUUAUCAUCCUUUGGAAGACAACACCAUGUGAUUCCCCAUGAACCCAUGUCUUUCUCAUUACCGAUCGGACCCCAUCAGUUGCACCUUCACCACUCAUUCCAUAUCCCCCCCUUAAUAAUUGAUGAACAUUAUUUCCUCUCUGCCCCUUACAUUUAUAUAUACAAGUAAGAUUAAGUUCAUUGCCAACACCUACCUUCAACAUUCUCAAGCUUGCUUUCUAAGUUAUCUGAGAUCCUCCACUUCUUCCUUUUUUAAAGCAUACAUCUAUUGUAAACAAAAAUGGCUAUCCGCUUGCCUCGUAUCAUAAGCUCUAAGAAAGUUCCCAAGGGCUACUUUGCAGUUUAUGUUGGAGAAAACCAGAAGAGGUUUGUGAUACCAGUGUCAUUCUUGAGCCAGCCUUUAUUUCAAGAUUUGCUAGGCAAGUCAGAAGAAGAGUUCGGAUAUAGUCAUCCUACCGGUGGUCUCACAAUUCCCUGCAAUGAAGAUAUUUUUCUUGAUGUUACCUCUCGCUGGAAUCAAUUGUGAGAGAAUCAACACAAAUCUGCCUAUACAAUUUUGUAAAGCCAAAAUGUCUAACACCAUGUAAACAUUUUUUCUCCAUCUCUUUUGCCUUGGGGAGCAAAUACAAGUCUCCCUAAGUGAAAAAUUACAGAUGGUUGUUACUGUAACUUCUAUCAAUCAGCAUGGAAAAUGACAGUUCAAAACACAUCAUUCAAUUGGAAUUUUAUUUACUUCCAGAAUUUCCUAUCAUUAAUUUAACUAUAAAUGAUCUAACUUGUUCUAAAUUUACUUUAUUAUACAUGCUAAGUUAUUCGGACUCUUCGUUUGCUUUAGAAUACACGCAUCCAACACAUUCAAACAUGAGUACAAAAUAGCAUGAUUCUCCAAACAAAUGAAAAAACUUAUAUCCCCUUAUUGAAAUCUUUUAGCCAAGGAGUUAAAGCUUUGUUUCGUUUUUCAAGUAGGAAUUAGUCUUUAUAUAUAAUAAUUAACAGUACAUGACUUAGUAAAAAUUGUUUUGAAGGUAAAACAUAUAAAAUGACUUUUUUUAUUAGCCAUAAAAUACAUAUAAAAAAACAUACAAAAUUGCUUAAAUGUAAAGAUGUAAAUGAAAGAGGAUAACCUUUGUGACAAAAAAGAAAACUAAAAUGAAGUUAUUUAAAUGAAAUAGGGACUUGAAUAUAACUGUGCAAAAUAUAACAUGACCUAAAAUGAAAUUAACCCAAUAUCAAACUUUGAAUAUUAACUCAGAUUUUAAUGGCCUUCUUUUCUUUCUUUCUUUCACGGUUUUUUUUUUACAAAGUCAUGUACGGUUAAUAAUGAAUAGUCAAAAUAUGCAGACAACACUCAACAAACAUGCCAUCAAACAAGUUGACCGAAACCAGAUUCAUCUGUAAGGUUAUCCAAAUAUAUAUAUAGCAGCACAUACCAGAAAUUUUGUGAGCUGUCAAGCUAAGUUUUGGCUUCACCCCUAUGGAACUAUUUGAUUGCAGCACGGCGUAGACAAGAAUAAGGAUAAAAUGCAACCAAUUGGGUGCUGGUGAGGACUAGUUGCAGCCUGUAGGACACACUUCAGGUGCUCUUCACAAGAGUUUGUCUUACGGAUUCUUACAGAUCCACACCUUAAUAAAAAUCAACAUGCUUGGUGAAGUCAGAAUGUAAGAGGAGGUCAAGGUCACCCAUGUUACAUGUUCCCUGUCAUUGCCUGACGGAUUAUAUGUCUUUAAAGUAGGAACCGACAUAAAUGGUGCAGUGGUACAACUCUUUUAUUGUGAAGAAGCAUUUUACUGGUCCAGAUCUUCCAUAUUUGGGUGGGCUCCUUGGUCGGUUUCUAUUGCCAGAAGGGGUAGGCAAACUAUUUUUUCAAAGUAUUUUGCCAUGGAAUUCUUGAUAAUGAGUUAGACGACAACACCAUGUGAUCCCCUAUAAUGAAGCCAUGUAGAACAUGAUUUUUCUCUCUACCCCUUGCAUCUAUAUAUACAGAGUAGAUUAUGUUCACUGGCAAUUCCUAUCUUCACAUCCUCAACUACUAAAGUACUUUACCUUUGCUUUCCUUUUUCAAAGCAUACAUCUAUCUAAAACAACAAUGGCUAUUCGCUUGCCUCGUAUCGUUAGCUCUAAGAAAGUUCCCAAAGGCUACUUUGUGGUUUAUGUUGGAGAAAACCAGAAGAGGUUUGUGAUACCGGUGUCGUUCUUGAACCAGCAAUUAUUUCAAGAUUUGCUAGGCAAGUCAGAAGAAGAGUUCGGAUAUAGUCAUCCUACAGGCGGCCUCACGAUUCCCUGCAACGAAAACACCUUUCUUGAAGUUACCUCUCGUUUGUACUAAUUGUGAGAUGAUUAACAGAAACCAGGCAAUACAAUUUUGUAAAGUAAACAUCACUAAUACAUGUAAACAUUUUUUUCUCCAUCCUUUUUGCCUUGGGAAGCUGAUUAAAUCUCCCCAAGUGGAAAACUAGAGAUGGUGGUUAGCGUAACACUCCAAUAAAUCAGUAAUGACAGUUCCAAACAUAUCAUUCAGUUGUCAUUUCAUUUCCUUUCUGAAUUUUUUACUUGCUCGCGUUAAUUCCAUCUUUAAUAUAAACUGUAAAUGAUCUACCUUGUUCUAAAAUUACUUUCAAACAUGAGUGCAUGCUAAGUUAUUUGGAGUCGGACCCCUCAUUUUCUUUCGAUUGCAUGUGUCCAACACAAAUUCAAACAUGAGCACAAAGUUCGGGUAAGAUAGACUACAAGUAUCCUUUUGCAUGGUAGUAGCUUAUUAAAGGAUCCAUUUCGUGUUACAAAUUUCAAAGUAAUUUUCUUAAUGCGGAUUUGAUAAAGAAUUAAGAUAUGUAAAGACGUGAAGCAAGGGACUAAGAGGUUAAUAUAACAAAGCUAAUAACAAAAUAUUUUAAAUAAAAAAGAGAAGAGUAAAAGAGAUGCAAGUUCGUGAUGCAUAUUGAUUAGUAUUAUGAGAAAGUACACUUCAUUCUUGUUACUUGUUUGGUUUUAUAUUUUAAUGGUUAAUCAACAUUGGUAAAAUUCAAUAAAUUUUCAAAUACUCUAAACUCCAGUCAUGUAUAUGGAAACAAAUAUACAAAUGACUGAAUGUAAAAUCAAAUAGCUUUUUGACCAUUUUGAGAUAAGAGUAAGAGGACUACAAACUCCUAUUUCAUUUAUAUAUUUUUUGCAUCAGCUAUUAAGAAGCCUUAGAGAUGAACAUAUUCUACCCUUGCAACUUUUCCCAGUUCAUAAGAGUUAUGUGUUUGUGAGUACCUGCACUUGUUCAGACUAAGCAGAUUUAGGAAUUGAUAAAUCAGGCUGGAAGAGGAGUUUGGCUUUGAUCAUCCAAGAGGUAGUCUCGCAGUCCCAUGUGCAGAAGAAGCCUUCAUUGAACUUUCUUGUAGUUUGAAUAGCUUUCUGACAUUGACCUGACAUAUUUUCUCCCGCAUAUAAUAACGAAUAGUCAAAAUAUGCAAAGAUCGAAACAAACAUGCCACCAGAAAGGUGGACUAAAAACAGAUUUAUCUGUUAUGUUUUCCAUAUAUAUAUAUAUAUAGCAGCACAUACCAGAGACUUUGUGAGCUGUCAAGCUGAAUAUUGUCUUCAACCCUAUGGAACUAUUUGAUUGCAGCACGGCAUAGACAACAAACCUGGAUAAAAUGCAACAAGUUGGGUUCAGAUGAGGAGUUGUUGUAGCCUGUAGGACACACUUCAGGCGCUCUUCACAAGGGUUUGUCUUACAAGUUUUAUGUGAAGUCUGUAUGAAAUAGGAGGUCAAAGUCACCCAUGUUAUUUGUUCCCUAUCAUUGCAUGGCAGAUUGUAUGUCUCUAAAGGUUUCCUCUAUUGUCACUAGUGAAGUAAUAAAAAUCUUUACUAGGAAGAAGCUUUUAAUGGAUCCAAAUCUUCCAAAUCUGAGUAGGUCCUUAGUCGGUUCAUUUUGUCGGCAAGGUAGGAAAACCAUUCUUUCAAGUAUUUGACACGGAAUUCUUGAUAAUGCUUCGGAAGACAACACCAUGUGAGUCCCAUGAGCCCAUGUCUAUCUCAUUACUGAUCAGACCCCAGCAAUUGCAGCAUCAACACUCAUUGCGCAUCCCCCACUUAAUAAUAGAUGAACAUCAUUUCCUCUCUACCCUAUACAUCUAUAUAUACAAGUAGGAUUAAGUUCAUUGCCAACUCCUUCCUUCAACUUCUCAAGCUUGCUUUCAAAGUUAUCUGAGUUCUUCCUUUUCUUCCCUUUGAGAAGCAUACAUCUAUCAAAAACAACAAUGGCAAUCCACCUACCUCGUAUCAUUAACUCUAAGAAAGUUCCCAAGGGCUACUUUGUGGUUUAUGUUGGAGAAAACCAGAAGAGGUUUGUGAUUCCAGUGUCAUUCUUGAACCAGUCUUCAUUUCAAGAUUUGCUAGGCAUGUCACAAGAAGAGUUCGGAUAUAGUCAUCCUACCGGCGGUCUCACAAUUCCAUGCAAUGAAGACACCUUUCUCGAAGUUACCUCUCGCUUGAAUUAACACAAAUCAGCCAAUACAAUUUUGUAAAUAAAAAAUCACUAAUACAUACAUGUAAACAUUUUUUUCACCAUCAUUUUUGCCUUGGGGAGCAGAUAAUAAGUCUCCCUAAGUAGAAUAUUAGAGAUGGUGGCAUUUGUAACAGUUUGGAACACAUCAUUCAAUUGAAAUUUUAUUUCUUUUUAUAAUUUCCUAUGGUCCCCUUGUUAUUGUUGGUUUCAUAUAUAAUUUAACUGUAAAUGAUUUACAUUGUUCACAAAUUACUUCAACAUACAAGUCAAGUUAUAUUAACUCUACAUUUUUCUUAAAAUAUCUGUACUAACACCUAUAUUCAACACAUAUUCGGAUGUAAGUACGAGAGUAUGGUCCUCCAACAUUCACCCUCAAAUUUUCAUAAUAUAAACUACGUGUACUUAGUUUCAUAAUUUUCAUAACAAAUUUCCUUAAGCAGCAUUGACUAUGGAUUAAGAUAUAUAAAGAUAUGAGGUAUGAGACCAAGUCAUUAGACUAAAUGGUAUGCCUUUACCUAUAAAAGUUUCUUAGUUGGCUGAUAGAAUGAAAUGGUAUAUUUUCUUUUGUCUUUGACAAUUUUUGGUGGAUUUGAUGAUUCUAAGGAAAAAAAUCGCAUAUUAGUUAGCUUAAUGUACCCAUUAAAUAUACUGUAUUGUCAGAUUAGUCCCCGGUUUUUACCAUUACUCUCCUCUAGGAUAUGUCAAGCAACAGCAUCACAUGAGCUGAUCAACUUGCUUGUUCUUGUGUCUGGAGGUAAUGAAGAUAAACAGGAAAUUUGACAGUGGAACUUUUGAUAAUGUUAGACUAGUCCACAGAGUU